GACAGAGGGUGCAAACGUUGUUCGGAAUUACUGGGCGUAAAGCGCGUGUAGGCUGCUUCGCAAGUCGGGUGUGAAAUCUCGGGGCUUAACUCCGAAACUGCAUUCGAUACUGCCGUGCUUGAGGACUGGAGAGGAGACUGGAAUUUACGGUGUAGCGGUGAAAUGCGUAGAUAUCGUAAGGAAGACCAGUGGCGAAGGCGGGUCUCUGGACAGUUCCUGACGCUGAGGCACGAAGGCCAGGGGAGCAAACGGG
rnacentral:rRNA from 1 species